CAUGCAUGUCUAAGUACAACUAAAUUAAAAGUGAAACCGCAAAAGGCUCAUUAUAUCAGUUAUGGUUUAUUAGAUCAUUAACAGUUACUUGGAUAACUGUGGUAAUUCUAGAGCUAAUACAUGCAAUAUAAACAUGAACCUUAUGGAACAUGUGCUCUUAUUAGGCUAAAACCAAGCGAUUUUUUUCAAAAUCGUUAUAAUGGUUGAACUCUAGAUAAUUUGCCAAUCGUAUGGUCUUGUACCGACGAUAGAUCUUUUAAAUGUCUGCCCUAUCAACUAUUGAUGGUAGUAUUUAGGACUACCAUGGUUGCAACGGGUAACGGGGAAUCAGGGUUCGAUUCCGGAGAGGGAGCCUGAGAAACAGCUACCACAUCUAAGGAAGGCA
rnacentral:rRNA from 1 species